UGUGGACCCACGUGGGUGUCGUGGAUGGAAAGACGAGCCCAUCAUCCUUCCUAAAUCCUUCCAACCUAGUCAUUUUCGGUUUCCCUCUCCCUUGUUUAACCCCUCCAUGGUCCCACUCUUCGAACCGAUGCACCCUCAGAUCUCCGUCUUACAUGCCCAAAAAUAAACAAUAAUAAAUUUGAAAAAAUAAUAGGUAAAGGACCAAUUUUUAAGAAUGCAGUUAAACAAAUUUUUAAGAAUGCAGUUAAACAAUAAAUUUGAUACUUAAAUUUUGGUUAUAGGUAUGAAUGCAAAGCAAAAAAAAAAAAAAAAAUUGGCAUUUCUAUUUGCAGGAUUGUUGGUGAAUUGAACAAGGGUUGGGAAGUGACCUUUUUAUUUAUUUUCUGGUUAGAUUGGGGGUCUAUAAGGAGUCACAAAUUCAUAAAGGGUGGUGAAUUGACGCAGACAGGAUUUGACCCUAAGUUUUAGGUUCACCCCAAGACUUAACCAAUUAAUAUAGAGUGACAGUUUGUAUUGAUCGGGCCAUAUUUCUUUAUUAGAAUCUCAUUCUGACUUCUGCCCUUCACACUUAAGCUGUUUAAAUUGUAUAUUUUAAAUGACAUUACUAUUUUUAAUGAUCUUAUACUUGUUUUAAAUGCAUAGAUGCUUAUUAAUUUAAUCUGCUUGCAGCAAGAUGUUGAAGGCAAAACGUAUUACACAUUUGAGUUCACUGCCCAAGCGCCAAAUUAUACCCGCCAUGCUCUAAGUGUAAUCUGCAUUAACAAGGGUAAGUUCUACACCUUGACAACAGGAGCAAAUGAAAGGAGAUGGGACAAAAUGAAAGACAGAUUAUACACCGUCGUUGAUUCUUUCAGAGUCUUCAACGCUUGAUUUUAUGGUAAACUAGACAUCUCAUAUUGACACCCUAUACUGUUUCUGCGUGAGUUGCACAAAUUUUAACUUUAUUCGAAGUUAAUUGCUCCAAAAACUUGAAUGUUGGAGAAUACUCAUUUUAUGUAUAUUAGACCCGAUUUUUUCAAAAUGAACGUGUAAAAGUCUUCUGAUUAAUGAAAUUUUAUCCCACUA